rnacentral:rRNA from 1 species
CGUCUACGGGGGGCAGCAGUAGGGAAUCUUCCACAAUGGACGAAAGUCUGAUGGAGCAACGCCGCGUGAGUGAAGAAGGGUUUCGGCUCGUAAAGCUCUGUUGGUAGUGAAGAAAGAUAGAGGCAGUAACUGGCCUUUAUUUGACGGUAAUUUCUUAGAAAGUCACGGCUAACUACGUGCCAGCAGCCGCGGUAAUACGUAGGUGGUAAGCGUUGUCCGGGUUUAUUGGGCGUAAA